GACGAACGCUGGCGGCGUGCUUAACACAUGCAAGUCGAACGGAAAGGCCCUGCUUUUGUGGGGUGCUCGAGUGGCGAACGGGUGAGUAACACGUGAGUAACCUGCCCUUGACUUUGGGAUAACUUCAGGAAACUGGGGCUAAUACCGGAUAGGAGCUCCUGCAGCACGGUGGGGGUUGGAAAGUUUCGGCGGUUGGGGAUGGACUCGCGGUUUAGCAGCUUGUUAGUGAGGUAGGUGCUUACCAAGGCUUUGAAGGGUAGCCGGCCUGGGAGGUUGACCGGCGACAUGAGUACUGAGGUAGGGCCCAGUCUCCUACGGUCGGCAGCAGGGGGGAAUAUUGCACAACGGGCGGAAGCCUGAUGCAGCAACGCCGCGUGCGUGAUGACGGCCUUCGGGGUGGAAACCGCUUUCGCCUGUGACGAAGCGUGAGUGACGGUAAUGGGUAAAGAAGCACCGGCUAACUACGUG
rnacentral:rRNA from 1 species